ACAAUGUCAUGAUAAAUUGGGAAAUUAUCUGAUCCCUGCAACACACAAAUCUCCAGAUUAGCAUUUCUGCAGCAGAAGUUCAGAACAGACGACUCUUACCUGUAACAACUGGGAAACAUAAAUAGUGAAGGCAAUGUCACAAAAAUUAGACAGAUUGUUUAGAGCGGCGAAGUCUCUGCUCAAAUGUGGAAGAAGAUGAUGAAUUCAUGUUGUGAAAACUUGGAACUUGAUGUUACCAAUUUAACAUGUAUUUCUCAGAAGUCAGUCUCUGAUGUCCAUCCUUUUUUCUCGAGUUCCAAUCGCAAUGACUGGCUUGGUCAGCAUGGAACAUUUCACAAUUAAAUUCAUGUUAUACGAAGGAGUCACAUGAAAAGGGUAUUGGGCUAACUGGCCUGGAGAGGCCAUUUCAACAAAUAAAUUUGCUAAACAUUAGACGGUGUAUCAUAAAGUGCACCUUUAUUCUCUUUCUAUUGAUAUCAAAAUCAAAGUUCCCCAA
rnacentral:lncRNA from 1 species